UUUUUUAUUUCCCAUCUUAUGGCUAAGGCCACAUAAACUUGUUCUGCUUCAUUGUUUUGGAAGCUUAAGUGGAAUAGCCUGUUUAGCAUUGAUAAGAGGCCCUCAAGAAUAUUUUUUAAGCCUUCUUCACUAUGAAAAACUCCCAUUUUCCGCUCUAUACUUAGGAACAAUGUUUGGUGCACUUUACUUUGCUCUUCACAAGAAAAUUUUUUUGGCCCUGGUGUGCACGGGUUUCCAGAUAAGCAGUUUAAUAUAUUUUCUGGUAGCUUACAUACCUGGAGGAAUUAAGGGUCUUUGGCAAAUGUUUCGCUUGUUAUUGAAAUCUUCUUCUUCAAUAGGGCAAACCAUCCUAAAUAUUUAACACAACUCGGAUCCUUUAGUUAAAAGAUGCUU